rnacentral:rRNA from 1 species
GCUGGCGGCGUGCCUCAGACAUGCAAGUCGAACGAGAAAGUCCCCUUCGGGGGGCGAGUAAAGUGGCGCACGGGUGAGUAACACGUAGGUAAUCUACCUUCGGGUGGGGAAUAACCCAGGGAAACUUGGGCUAACACCGCAUAAUGCAGCGGCACCACAUGGUGACAGUUGUUAAAGCGGGGGAUUUUAGGACCUCGCGCCUGAAGAGGAGCCUGCGGCGGAUUAGCUAGUUGGUAAGGUAACGGCUUACCAAGGCGACGAUCCGUAGCCGGCCUGAGAGGGCGGUCGGCCACACUGACACUGACAUACGGGUCAGACUCCUACGGGAGGCAGCAGUCGGGAAUUUUGGGCAAUGGGCGAAAGCCUGACCCAGCAACGCCGCGUGAAGGAUGAAAUCCCUCGGGAUGUAAACUUCGCAAGAAUGGGAAGAAUUAGUAGGGGUUAAUACCCCCUAUGAUGACGGUACCAUUUGUAAGCUCCGGCUAACUCCGUGCCAGCAGCCGCGGUAAUACGGGGGGAGCAAGCGUUGUUCGGAUUUACUGGGCGUAAAGGGCGCGUAGGCGGCCAGCACAAGUCGGUUGUGAAAUCUCCGGGCUUAACUCGGAAAGGUCAACCGAUACUGUGCGGCUAGAGUGCGGAAGG